GGGGACGUGGCAGAGCGGUCGAAUGCAUCUGACUGUAAAUCGGGUAUCCCACACGGUGGUUCGAAUCCACCCGGCUCCA
rnacentral:tRNA from 1 species